GUGAGCGGUAGAGCAGGCAUUGUGAAACUCAUUUGGGUCUCCAGCUAGCCUUUUGUUCUCCGUUGGGUGGAGGUGGUUACAUACCAAAUGUUACUGCCGUUUCUAAGCCCCUUAGCCCCAUUCAGUCAUGCCAAAUACUAAAAUCGGCAUUGUUUUUCAACAAAUCCUAAUAAACUUCCUGUCAUUGUGUAAUAUUGGCAGGUUCAUUUAAUUACAUGUUGAUGUUGAUGUCACUUGACAGCCCCUCCCCUCAGGUAUAUUGGUCUGUUACGGUGAUAACAGAUCCUUUCGGGUUUCCAUGGCAACGCUAUUCACCAAAAAAAAACACCUUUUGUGGAGUUAAAAACUGAGAAGUGACAGUAAUCCAUGCCCUACAUGGUCAAAAUCAGGGAAAACUACAAUUCCCAGAAUGCCAAGGUAAAAUUUCCACCAAAUUACUGAUUGAAGGCACCUGAAAAGGAAGGAGGUUCAGUCACUCUUUCACCAAACUACCCCCAUGGAAAGAAGAACAGCAAGCAGCCACAACCGCAAGAUCCACUCAACAAGUUUCUCCAAACACACCAAUAGUUUACAACCUGCUGAUGAUUUUGAAAAUCAACUGAAAUUAUACCAACAAAGCUUUAAGUUGGAAAAAAUAAAAGUUGAUCAAUUGGAAA